rnacentral:rRNA from 1 species
UGAGGAAUAUUGGUCAAUGGGCGCAGGCCUGAACCAGCCAAGUCGCGUGAGGGAGGACGGUCCUACGGAUUGUAAACCUCUUUUGUCGGGGAGUAACGUGCGGGACGGGUCCCGUAUUGAGAGUACCCGAAGAAAAAGCAUCGGCUAACUCCGUGCCAGCAGCCGCGGUAAUACGGAGGAUGCGAGCGUUAUCCGGAUUUAUUGGGUUUAAAGGGUGCGCAGGCGGCGUGCCAAGUCAGCGGUCAAAGUUCCGGGCUCAACCCGGUGAUGCCGUUGAAACUGGUGUGCUUGAGUGCGUGCGAGGGAGGCGGAAUG